CAAGACAACUUUACGGAGUUGACGAUUGACGGAGCGAAGCGACGUCAAAGCGUUCAUUAAAGUCGAGUUGGCUUAGGGAUACGUUCGUUGGGUAGGGGAGCGUUCUGUAAGCCUGUGAAGGUGUGUCGUGAGGCAUGCUGGAGGUAUCAGAAGUGCGAAUGCUGACAUAAGUAACGAUAAAGCGGGUGAAAAGCCCGCUCGCCGGAAGACCAAGGGUUCCUGUCCAACGUUAAUCGGGGCAGGGUGAGUCGACCCCUAAGGCGAGGCCGAAAGGCGUAGUCGAUGGGAAACGGGUUAAUAUUCCCGUACUUGGUGUUACUGCGAAGGGGGGACGGAGAAGGCUAUGUUGGCCGGGCGACGGUUGUCCCGGUUUAAGCGUGUAGGUGUGUGUUCCAGGUAAAUCCGGUUCACUUUAACACUGAGGCGUGACGACGAGGCACUACGGUGCUGAAGCAACAAAUGCCCUGCUUCCAGGAAAAGCCUCUAAGCAUCAGGUAACACGAAAUCGUACCCCAAACCGACACAGGUGGUCAGGUAGAGAAUACCAAGGCGCUUGAGAGAACUCGGGUGAAGGAACUAGGCAAAAUGGUGCCGUAACUUCGGGAGAAGGCACGCUGACACGUAGGUGAAGUGAUUUACUCAUGGAGCUGAAGUCAGUCGAAGAUACCAGCUGGCUGCAACUGUUUAUUAAAAACACAGCACUGUGCAAACACGAAAGUGGACGUAUACGGUGUGACGCCUGCCCGGUGCCGGAAGGUUAAUUGAUGGGGUCAGCGCAAGCGAAGCUCCUGAUCGAAGCCCCGGUAAACGGCGGCCGUAACUAUAACGGUCCUAAGGUAGCGAAAUUCCUUGUCGGGUAAGUUCCGACCUGCACGAAUGGCGUAAUGAUGGCCAGGCUGUCUCCACCCGAGACUCAGUGAAAUUGAACUCGCUGUGAAGAUGCAGUGUACCCGCGGCAAGACGGAAAGACCCCGUGAACCUUUACUAUAGCUUGACACUGAACAUUGAGCCUUGAUGUGUAGGAUAGGUGGGAGGCUUUGAAGUGUGGACGCCAGUCUGCAUGGAGCCGACCUUGAAAUACCACCCUUUAAUGUUUGAUGUUCUAACGUGGACCCGUAAUCCGGGUUGCGGACAGUGUCUGGUGGGUAGUUUGACUGGGGCGGUCUCCUCCUAAAGAGUAACGGAGGAGCACGAAGGUUGGCUAAUCCUGGUCGGACAUCAGGAGGUUAGUGCAAUGGCAUAAGCCAGCUUGACUGCGAGCGUGACGGCGCGAGCAGGUGCGAAAGCAGGUCAUAGUGAUCCGGUGGUUCUGAAUGGAAGGGCCAUCGCUCAACGGAUAAAAGGUACUCCGGGGAUAACAGGCUGAUACCGCCCAAGAGUUCAUAUCGACGGCGGUGUUUGGCACCUCGAUGUCGGCUCAUCACAUCCUGGGGCUGAAGUAGGUCCCAAGGGUAUGGCUGUUCGCCAUUUAAAGUGGUACGCGAGCUGGGUUUAGAACGUCGUGAGACAGUUCGGUCCCUAUCUGCCGUGGGCGCUGGAGAACUGAGGGGGGCUGCUCCUAGUACGAGAGGACCGGAGUGGACGCAUCACUGGUGUUCGGGUUGUCAUGCCAAUGGCACUGCCCGGUAGCUAAAUGCGGAAGAGAUAAGUGCUGAAAGCAUCUAAGCACGAAACUUGCCCCGAGAUGAGUUCUCCCUGAGACUUAAAGUCUCCUGAAGGAACGUUGAAGACGACGACGUUGAUAGGCCGGGUGUGUAAGCGCAGCGAUGCGUUGAGCUAACCGGUACUAAUGAACCGUGAGGCUUAACCUUACAACGCCGAAG
rnacentral:rRNA from 1 species